CUCACAUCAGAAAGGCAAAAGCCGAGUGCUCCGGGAUGGCCCCGGGCCGGCGGUGACAGCAGCCCCGAGGAGCCCGGCCUGGCAGGGACACAGGGACAUCAUGGGCAGCAAGGAGCGCUUCCACUGGCAGAGCCACAAUGUCAAGCAGAGCGGCGUGGACGACAUGGUGCUGCUGUCCAAAAUCUCGGAGGAUGCCAUCGUGGAGAACCUCAAGAAGCGAUUUAUGGACGACUUCAUCUUUACCUACAUCGGGCCCGUGCUGAUCUCCGUGAACCCCUUCAAGCAGAUGCCGUAUUUCACCGACCGCGAGAUCGAGCUGUACCAGGGCGCGGCCCAGUAUGAAAAUCCCCCCCACAUCUACGCCCUGACUGACAACAUGUACCGGAACAUGCUGAUCGACGGGGAGAACCAGUGUGUCAUCAUCAGCGGGGAAAGCGGAGCUGGGAAAACGGUGGCAGCAAAAUACAUCAUGGGCUACAUCUCCAAAGUGUCUGGGGGUGGGGAGAAAGUCCAGCACGUGAAGGACAUCAUCCUGCAGUCCAACCCGCUGCUGGAGGCCUUUGGAAAUGCCAAAACUGUCCGGAACAACAAUUCCAGCCGCUUCGGAAAAUACUUUGAGAUCCAGUUCAGCCGGGGUGGAGAACCCGACGGGGGCAAGAUCUCCAACUUCCUGCUGGAGAAGUCGCGCGUGGUGAGCCAGAACGAGUGCGAGCGGAACUUCCACAUCUACUACCAGCUCAUCCAAGGGGCAUCCCAAGAGCAGCGGCAGAAUUUGGGCAUCAUGAGCCCAGAUUAUUACUACUACCUGAACCAGACAGACACCUACCAGGUGGAGGGCACAGAUGACCGCAGCGACUUCCACGAGACCAUGAAUGCCAUGCAGGUCAUCGGCAUCCGCGGCGAGGACCAGCAGCUGGUGCUGCAGAUCGUGGCAGGGAUCCUGCACCUGGGCAACAUCAGCUUCAGGGAGGAGGGCAACUACGCCCGGGUGGAGAACACUGACUCCCUGGCCUUCCCUGCCUACCUGCUGGGGGUCGACCAGGAGCGCCUCAACGAGAAGGUCACCAGCAGGAAAAUGGACAGCAAGUGGGGCGGCCGCUCCGAGUCCAUCACCGUCACCCUCAACGUGGAGCAGGCGGCCUACACCCGCGACGCCCUGGCCAAGGGGCUCUACGCCCGUGUCUUCGACUUCCUGGUGGAGUCCAUCAACCGGGCCAUGCAGAAGCCGUAUGAGGAGUACAGUGUUGGUGUGCUGGACAUCUACGGCUUUGAGAUAUUCCAGAAAAAUGGCUUUGAGCAAUUCUGCAUUAACUUUGUGAAUGAGAAGCUGCAGCAGAUCUUCAUUGAGCUGACCCUGAAAGCAGAGCAGGAGGAAUAUGUGCAGGAGGGGAUCAAGUGGACACAGAUCCAGUACUUCAACAACAAGGUGGUGUGUGACCUGAUAGAGAACAAGCUGAACCCCCCUGGCAUCAUGAGUGUCCUGGAUGAUGUGUGUGCCACCAUGCACGCCACGGGUGAGGGCGCUGACCAGACCCUGCUGCAGAAGCUGCAGGCGGCCGUGGGCACCCACGAGCACUUCAACAGCUGGAACUCGGGUUUUGUCAUCCACCACUACGCUGGCAAGGUGUCCUAUGACGUGAAUGGCUUCUGCGAGCGCAACCGCGACGUGCUGUUCACCGACCUGAUCGAGCUCAUGCAGAGCAGUGAAUACGGUUUCAUCCGGAUGCUUUUCCCAGAAAAACUUGAUUCUGACAAAAAGGGACGACCGACCACCGCGGGCUCCAAAAUCAAGAAACAGGCCAACGACCUGGUGAACACGCUCAUGAAGUGCACCCCACACUACAUCCGCUGCAUCAAACCCAACGAGACCAAGAAACCCCGGGACUGGGAGGAGAGCAGGGUGAAGCACCAGGUGGAGUACCUGGGGCUGAAGGAGAACAUCCGUGUGCGCCGGGCUGGGUUCGCCUACCGCCGCCUCUUCCACAAGUUCCUGCAACGCUAUGCCAUCCUGACCCCCGAGACGUGGCCGUCGUGGCGCGGGGACGAGCGCCAAGGGGUGCAGCACCUGCUGCACUCGGUGAACAUGGAGCCAGACCAGUACCAGAUGGGCCGGAGCAAGGUGUUCGUCAAGAACCCCGAGUCGCUCUUCCUGCUCGAGGAGAUGAGGGAGAGGAAAUUUGACAGCUUUGCCCGGGUGAUCCAGAAGGCGUGGCGCCGGCACAUCGCCAUCCGCAAAUACGAGCAGAUGAGAGAGGAGGCUGCCAGCAUCCUCUACAACUUCAAAGAGCGGCGGAGGAACAGCAUCAACAGGAAUUUCGUGGGGGAUUACCUGGGCAUGGAGGAGCGGCCGGAGCUGCGCCAGUUCCUGGCCAAGCGCGAGCGCAUCGACUUCGCCGACUCCAUCACCAAAUACGACCGGAGGUUCAAGCCCAUCAAGCGGGAUUUCAUCCUCACUCCCAAGUACUUCUACCUGAUCGGGAGGGAGAAGGUGAAGAAGGGGCCUGAGAAGGGGCAGAUCAAGGAGGUGCUCAAGAAGAAGGUGGAGCUGCAGGCGGUGAGCGGAGUCUCACUGAGCACCAGGCAGGACGACUUCUUCAUCCUCCACGAGAAUCAUGCCGACAAUUUCUUGGAGUCCAUCUUCAAGACAGAGCUGAUCAGCCUCCUGUGCAAACGCUUCGAGGAGCUCACGCGCUCCAAGCUGCCCCUCUCCUUCAAGGACACACUACAGUUUCGGGUGAAGAAGGAGGGCUGGGGCGGCGGUGGCACCCGCAACGUCACCUUCAUCAGAGGACAGGGCGACGUGGCCACCCUCAAAGCUGGAGGCAAAACCCUUACGGUCAGCAUCGGGGAUGGGCUCCCCAGGAAUGCCAAGCCCACAAGGAAGGGGGCAGCACAGGGCAGAGGUGGCAGCAGGUGUCCAGCACCCUCCCGAAGUGCCCCACCAGCACCCAGAGGAGCCUGCAGGAACGGGGGUCCCCAGAUCUCCCGUGGUGAUGGCUUGGCCCAGAGGGACACCUACAGGAUGCCCCAGAAGCACACGCGGGGCCCCCCGGCCGCGGCUCUUCCCCCCCGCAAUGCCGGCCACCAGCACAAGGCACAGCCCCCAUCCGAGCACAACAUGGACUUCCUCAACGUGCCCGACCAGGGGGUGGCUGGGAUGCAGCGCCGGCGCAGCGUGAGCCAGCGGCCGCCCCCGGCCCGGCGCCCCAAGCCCCAGCCCAAGGCGGAGGGGCCGCGGUGCCGGGCGCUCUACCAGUACAUCGGGCAGGACGUGGAUGAGCUCAGCUUUAAUGAGGGGGAUGUCAUUGAUGUCCUGAUGGAAGAUGCCUCUGGCUGGUGGAAGGGCCGGCUGCACGGCAAGGAAGGGCUUUUCCCUGGGAAUUACGUGCAGAAGAUCUGAGCUGGAGGAAAGGAAGAGGUCACCAUCUUCCCACCCCACUUCCAGAGGCUGCGCCCAAGGUAGCAGGGGUGGCUCCGUGAAGUUUUUCCAGCAGUGCUGGCACAGAGUGAGCGUUUCCUCAGGAGCCCCCGGACUGUGCCAGUGCCAAGCGCUGGAUCCCGCAGCCCCUUUAGCCGGGGCAGCCCUGCAGCAAGGACGGGCUCUUGGCUGCUUGUUCGUACCCUGGGACUGAUACUGCUCUGCGUGCCAGCUCUCACUGUGGCUGUGACAAAAGCUGUGACGUGGGCAGACACAGAUCAGAGGCAGCCCCGCUCCUCCCACAAUGAACCCUCCAGAAAACGCUGAAUACACAAACCAGCUCUCCCAGGGCUGCAGCUCAGGCAUCUCCACGCUCCGCUGUGACUCUGAUCGCUCAGCACAGCCCCGGGGCUGCCGGGGCAGCGGUAAAACAGGACCAGGCUGCUGUCACCGUGCCCUGGUUCCACAGGAAAAACCCCAAGGAUCGCUCAGACAAAGGCCACGGAGCUGUCACAGCUUUGUCUGCCGGUGCUCAGGGAGCUGCGGGCAGGGGGGUCUCAGCCAUGAGGGGCCAGGAUCGAUGCUUGGGGUGGCAACCGCGACCCUCGGCCGUGCCGGCUCCGGGGACACCCCAAAGCCCAGGGCAGGGGGACAGUGGGGCUGGGGGUGCUGCUGGGGCUGAGUGCCACCCACAGCUGCUCCAGCAGCUUUUCAGCCGGGAGAGCCAUGAACAGGGCCCAAACGUCCGGCUCAUGGCCGGCCCUGUGCCAGAGGAAGUGACGACAGCCUGACCCCAGAGAGCCCGGCCUGAUCCCUCAGCCCG